ensembl:snoRNA
UGCAGCCGUAUCAAAUUCAGUGCCUGCCCACCCAUGGCUGCCACAGAAACACUGUGGUGCACGGGCCCUGGUCCCCUCUGCUGGGCCUCAGGGAUAAGUUUGGCUGCAGACAUCA